rnacentral:rRNA from 1 species
AUUGAACGCUGGCGGCAGGCCUAACACAUGCAAGUCGAGCGGAGCGGCGGACGGGUGAGUAAUGCCUAGGAAUCUGCCUGGUAGUGGGGAUAACGUCCGGGAACGGGGCCCAAUAACGGAUACCAUCCGACGAGCCCUGGUCGGAUUAGCUAGUUGGUGGGGUAAAGGCCUACCAAGGCCACGAUCCGUAACUGGUCUGAGAGGAUGAUCAGUCACACUGGAACUGAGACACGGUCCAGACUCCUACGGGAGGCAGCAGUGGGGAAUAUUGGACAAUGGGCGAAAGCCUGAUCCAGCCAUGCCGCGUGUGUGAAGAAGGUCUUCGGAUUGUAAAGCACUUUAAGUUGGGAGGCGUUACCAACAGAAUAAGCACCGGCUAACUUCGUGCCAGCAGCCGCGGUAAUAC